CUUCUGUUUGAAAUCCCUUUUAUUUCCACUGAUUUCAUUGAUUUGUUUGUUCUGUUUGAAUUCUCAUAUUCUCUUAUUUCUCCUUUAUAUGCAGAUUCCAUUCAAAGCUUAUGCCCUGGAAGAGAAGCAUGAAAGAUCAGAGCAAGGGUGAUUAGAAAGGGAGCUCCAUAGUUGGCAAUUGUGAUCUUGAAUUUGCUGAAGGACUGUCUUUCAGUAGUAAAUUAUGGCCACUCCUAAACAUAUUAGUGAACUGAUACAUGUGGAAGGCAUGGCAAUUGACGAAUUCAAAAGCCACUUGCAAGUGAGUGUGUUUGUAUUUCAUUAGGUUCCUAACAAACCUGGAAGGUUUUCAGUUCUGACAAAUUUAAUUCAUGUAUUUAUUUUGUUUAUUGCAGGGGGAAAUAUCUGAUAAAGACCAUGAAUGAGGUGGGUGGUAGGAAAAUCCUCAUUUUGCAAGAAUUUGUUUGGGUGAUGUGCUGAAAAGCUUAAUUAUUUUUAUAUUGUUUUUAUUUUUAUAAACUAUGCUUCAAAUUUUGAUUACAGAACAGUGACAGUCAUCCUAAAUUACCAAAUUCAAACCAUUAAGCAUGGAACUUCUUGAAUUGUGUAAGUCUCUUUCAUAAAAAUAUAUGAAGCUUCUAUUCAAACAGUUCAAGCUUGGUUACUGAUGAAAAUUGAGCAAUUUCCAUAACAAGGGUACACAAAUCUGUUUCUCUAGCCAGUGUUAUUGUGAAACAAUUAGUUAUAAUUUUUGUGUUUGUAGAUUUAGUGCAAUGGAAAAUAUUAUACGCACGAUAUUCCCUUCACAUAACUUGCAAUAUAGCAAACUAACAUUUCAUUUCUUUCUUCCUCUUUUCUCUGCUUUUUCUUUAUAAAAAGCAAUGGUGUCUAAUAUCUCUUAGUUUAAAUUUUUUUUCUUGAAGAUUGAGAGUUCUGAACAAAACUACAUAAAUAAAUGCACUUGGCUUAUGUUCUGCUAUUUAUCAACUCAGAUAAUGCCCAUAAGAGGAUACCAAUGAUUGUGCCCAACACUGAAAUUUUGAAUAGGCCAUCAACCCAGCUACUAGAACCCCCAUUAUCUGAGUGUUUCCAUGCAAGGUCUCAAAUUCCCCUGAUCUUAUACCAGUGCAUAUAUGACACUGCAUAUAUGAUUUUUGUAAACUUUUUAAUCUUUUAAUUGUUUAUCAUUUUUCUGAACUUCAUGUGUUUUCGACCUUUUUCUAUCUCCUACCCAUUCAGAGUUACUACUUAUUUUAGCGCUGAAGUUAACUUUUAUACUUCAGAAGUACAAAGGAGGGAAUAUGGCCCAAGUUUUCCCUGCAUCUCCACUCUGUUUUCCUAUUUGUAUGUUUGUCCAUUACUCUAUUUCUUAGUCAUACUCACAAUAAUUAAUUAGUAGGUGUUGGUGUGUGAGAUAAACUGUUUUUUUAUGUUUUGUAGUUGAACGUGUUGUUGUUUCCCUGUUGCAUUAUUUUUUUCUAAUCUUAUUCUAAAGUUUCCCAAUCUGCUGAUCUAAUCAUACCCACUUUGAUGGUUUUACAGUUGGAGUUCUUAUGACUCUUAAAGUUGAAAGGCUUAAAGUUUCACAUUGGAGAACUCAACGAUCAUACCUCAUUGCUUAAAAGGUCUCUGUUGGUAGAGGGAGGAAUAUGACAAGGUGUAUCUAUGGAGAAUAGGAGCUCGAGUCUGUUGGGCUUAUAAAUGAAGGGAAGAUGCAUUAAAUUGUGACGGCACAAGAAUGAGGAGAAGGUGAGCCAUCAAAAUUGUGAUAGGGAAGGGACAUAUCAAUUAUGCUUGAGUUUAAGUUCUUCAAUUAUGACGGCACAAGAAUGAAGUUUUUUGAUUAGGGAGACACUCUUUCUCAAUUUCUCACUCUUAACAUAAAUUCUGGUUCCAAAUUUUGUCUGUCUUUCCUCCAAAAUCAAUCAUCUUGAUCCUUAGAUGUAAAAUCAAGACUCUUAUGUCAUGUAUAAUAUGUAAUUUGUUCA